GGAAUAUUGGACAAUGGGCGCAAGCCUGAUCCAGCCAUGCCGCGUGAGUGAUGAAGGUCUUAGGAUUGUAAAGCUCUUUCACCGGAGAAGAUAAUGACGGUAUCCGGAGAAGAAGCCCCGGCUAACUUCAUGCCAGCAGCCGCGGUAAUACGACGGGGGCUAGCGUUGUUCGGAAUUACGGGGCGUAAAGCGCCCGUAGGCGGAUAUUUAAGUCAGGGGUGAAAUCCCAGAGCUCAACUCUGGAACUGCCUUUGAUACUGGGUAUCUUGAGUAUGGAAGAGGUGAGUGGAAUUCCGAGUGUAGAGGUGAAAUUCGUAGAUAUUCGGAGGAACACCAGUGGCGAAGGCGGCUCACUGGUCCAUUACUGACGCUGAGGUGCGAAAGCGUGGGGAGCAAACA
rnacentral:rRNA from 1 species